UCUUCUUCUCCAUACCUUGCCUUUCUCGCCAGUGCCGGAGAUUUUUUUGCCUCUUGCCAUCGGCUCUGGCCUCCGGGCUCGAAAAAAGAUUAUUUUGGUGGAGUGGAACCGAGAAACCUAGUGAGGGGUCAAGGAGUCGGGGAGAUGGCGGAGGAAUUACCCGACGGUGUUGGUGCGGGAAACCCUGGCGUAGAAGGCAGCGGCGAACCAGGGCAACCCGCUACGGCAAGAACUCUCAAGGGGAAAUCCUGCAAGGGAUGUCUGUACUAUUCUUCGCUCCUCAAAUCCGACUCACGUAAUCCCGUCUGCGUUGGGAUUAGCCGGACUCUUCCAACAGCACCUUUAUUCAUUAUGGGGGAGUCUGAAAUGAAAGCUACACAAGAUGGGCACGAUCUGUCAGAUUUCAAGUAUGCCUGCAUUGGUUGUUCCAUUUUCGUGGAUAACAAUGAUAAGCAAGAACACCGAGCACAGUUGCCAUUUUGUGCUGGCAUUGAGCUAUUAGUGGAGAAAAGAGUGUCAAUCUCUGAUCAUGUUGCUGCACCAGUUCAAAAAGAAGUUUUUAUGAAGAUGGGAAGGGUAGCCUUAAAGACCUUGUUUUCAAUUGAAAAAGGCCAACUUCCAGGAGCUCAGCAUACUAGGUCUGUGGUAUCAUCUUCCGUUACAUUCACCAUCCACCUACAUAGGUUAAUGCGACCUGCAUGGCAGAGGGUUCUGAUGCAAGAUUGCUAGAUACGUGUUGGAUGAAAACUUGGUUGGUAAUUGGUUUUACUGGUCAGCGUAUAGGAUGAUCCAAGCAAGAAAGGAACAUCGUCAAACUUAGUGUGCCUAUUUUACUUUUUGUUCAAAUUACUCUUUGAUUUUUGUCAGUCAGAAAUGGAUAACAACACCUGCCAUGAAUUAUAUGUUGCAUUUGAUCAUUUCAUCGUCUCCUCCAUAAUAUUUUUGCCAUGAUUAUGGCACAAUUGUUCAAGUUAGUUGACGGUUGUUGCCUGUUGGUUAUUUAUAGCUUGUGCAUUACUAAGGCGUAGGUUUCACUUAUUGAUCAGUGUAAAAUCUUUGCCGUGACUUAAAUAACCACACAAGUUACAAGUGUCAUUGGUUGCCCAUAGUUCAUGCCGUAAAGCACGUAAAGGUUUUCUCAACUAAUUCAUAAUUAUCUUGAUAUAUGUGAUUUGUUGUGUGGUACUUGUAGAUGCUACCGCCCGAUUCCCAUUACAACCACACCAACCAGGUCAAUCUUCGGCAGAACUUCUAAGCAGAUUUAGAAGGAAUGCUGGAGUGGUAGCUUCAGGUGUGGCUAAGAACCUGAACAAAGUGGGAAAUUACAUAAAGGACAACAUUGAUGAUAUAUUUUACCCUUUCCGCAAGCCACCCAAGUAGCAAAGCCACAAGUCCAACGUCGAGCAAGAGACCAAAGAGGGCAAGCCACCCAAGUAGCAAAGCCACAAGUCCAACGUCGAGCAAGAGAUCAAAGAGGGCAAGCCACCCAAGUAGCAAAGCCACAAGUCGAACAUCGAGCAAGAGAUAAAACAGGACUGCAGCACAUUACUGUGUGAAUAUUGCUAGUUUAAAAUUACAACCUUAGAUUUGUCCAAAUGCUAAGAACAAUUGUAGCUCGAGUACUCGAAUGCCCAUGUUAAUCGGUAUUUGUUAUUCUAAUUAUCAAAUAUUUUUUAUAUUUUUAUUAUAUUAUUCAAUGAUAUUAGAUGUGGUAUAUCUCAA